GCCCGGUUAGCUCAGUGGUAGAGCGCGAGGCUUUUACGGAUACUGCUGUGGAAAGUUAGAUAUUCCCAUCGCGGAAUAUGAUACCUCGUGGUCGUGGGUUCGAUCCCCACAUCGGGCG